rnacentral:rRNA from 1 species
GACGAACGCUGGCGGCGUGCUUAACACAUGCAAGUCGAACGGAAAGGCCCUGCUUUUGUGGGGUGCUCGAGUGGCGAACGGGUGAGUAACACGUGAGUAACCUGCCCUUGACUUUGGGAUAACUUCAGGAAACUGGGGCUAAUACCGGAUAGGAGCUCCUGCUGCAUGGUGGGGGUUGGAAAGUUUCGGCGGUUGGGGAUGGACUCGCGGCCUAUCAGCUUGUUGGUGGGGUAGUGGCUUACCAAGGCUUCGACGGGUAGCCGGCCUGGGAGGGUGACCGGCCACAUUGGGACUGAGAUACGGCCCAGACUCCUACGGGCGGCAGCAGUGGGGAGUAUUGCACAAUGGGCGGAAGCCUGAUGCAGCAGCGCCGCGUGCGGGAUGACGGGCUUCGGGUUGUAAACCGCUUUCGCCUGUGACGAAGCGUGAGUGACGGUAAUGGGUAAAGAAGCACCGGCUAACUACGUG